CACGAUAAGAAUCUGUCACAGCGGGGUGUCACUACUGAUAGGUAACAGACAUGGACCAAUAUCUCACAAUGACAUGUCCAUAUCGAUAUUGAGACGAGUAUUGCAUAUUGAGAAGUGCCUGGAUACAAGGCUAGUAUUGUUAACAUCAUCUGAUACAAUCAACUGGAACAAAGCUGAAAUGGCUGCCUGACCUGACUUAAAAAUUGGAUGGCAGUACAUCAGACUAGAAGAUUACAAGUAUUGAGGUGGACAAAAUGAAACCUGAGCCUUCCAAAGCUGACAGAUUGCACAAGAAACACAUAAAUGCAGAUUGAAAGAUUCAUUCUCUGGAAAGUAGAAAAGGGCAUGUUACAUACUGUUAUCACUGCCAUGACAGAAACCAUAUUGAG